rnacentral:tRNA from 1 species
GAGCUCAGUGGUAGGACAUCUGCUUUGCAUGCAGAAGGUCUCGGGUUCAAUCCUCAGCA